rnacentral:misc_RNA from 1 species
UUAUUCCGGAUGAAUUUGCAGAUUGCUC